CUUGGCGGCAAUAGCCUGCUGGACCCACCCCUUCCCUUCCCGAACAGGACCGUGAAACAGCAACGCGCCAAUGAUAGUGAGCAUCUCGCUCGCGAAAGUAGGUCACCGCCAGGC
rnacentral:rRNA from 1 species